rnacentral:rRNA from 1 species
GAUGAACGCUAGCGGCAGGCUUAACACAUGCAAGUCGAGGGGUAUAGGUUUUCGGACCUAGAGACCGGCGCACGGGUGCGUAACGCGUAUGCAAUCUACCUUUUGCAGAGGGAUAGCCCCAGAGAAAUUUGGAUUAAUACCUCAUAGUAUAGUACUUUGGCAUCAAGGAACUAUUAAAGUCACAACGGCAAAAGAUGAGCAUGCGUCCCAUUAGCUAGUUGGUAAGGUAACGGCUUACCAAGGCUACGAUGGGUAGGGGUCCUGAGAGGGAGAUCCCCCACACUGGUACUGAGACACGGUCCAGACUCCUACGGGAGGCAGCAGUGGGGAAUAUUGGACAAUGGGCGCAAGCCUGAUCCAGCCAUGCCGCGUGUGUGAAGAAGGCCUUCGGGUUGUAAAGUACGACUUUCUAGCGAGGA